rnacentral:lncRNA from 1 species
CAAGAGUCUUUACAAGAAUGGCAAGAAUGUUGCAGGGGCCCAGGGCCGGGCACGGUGGCUCAUGCCUGUAAUCCAGCACUUUGGGAGGCUGAGGCGGACGUAAUUCCUGCCUCUUCCACAGACUAGACAUGUGACUGGGGGCAGAUUCCUUCAGCAAUAUCACCUCAUUUGGAGAAGAACUGGACUAAAAUACCCUCCAAUCACUUUCCGAUUUGCUGGUUUAAUAAUCCUAUCAGAAAAGAAGAGGUUAGCUAUACAUGACUUUCUCUAGAAGCAUAUCGAUUGGCUCCUUGUAACAUUUUUCCUCUUUAAUAUAACAAAAUUGUGCAGUGUCUGAUGGCUACAGAACCAUCCAAAAUAUGGGUUUCCCAUACUUGGUGAUAGAGUGUAAGGGGUUCUCAGCUUAUAUAUUUAAAAUAACAGCUCUCAUUUCAAAUACCAUUUAUUUCUCCUCAUUAUUUGCAGAAGACGUGAAGGCAGAUUUUCAUUCUUCUUCUGGCCAAAGCUCAGUACAAGAACGACCUCAAAGGCAAGUAUUGGGAAGGAAAAUAGACUAAAAAGUAAAUUAUCUAAAUAUUCAUACCAAGAAAUUAGAUUAAAAAAUUAAAUUUAAAGAAAAUGAAAGAAUUGAGAUAUAGUAUUCUAUAAUAGACAUAACAAAGAAUAGAGAUAAAAACUAAUGAAAUACAACACAAACCAUGGAUAAGAUAAAAUAAAGCUAAAAUAUGGAUGUUUGAAAAACUAAUAAAAUUGG